UGCUGUUGGAUUCAAUAAAUUUGUUUACC
rnacentral:piRNA from 1 species